rnacentral:misc_RNA from 1 species
GAUGAAGAACGUAGCGAAAUGCGAUAAGUGAUGUGAAUUGCAGAAUUCAGUGAAUCAUCGAAUCUUUGAACGCACAUUGCGCCCCCCAGUAUUCUGGCGGGCAUGCCUGUUCGAGCGUCAUUUCAACCAUCAAGCCCUGCUUGUGUUGGGGUCCUGCGGCUGCCCGCAGGCCCUGAAAACCAGUGGCGGGCUCGCUAGUCACACCGAGCGCAGUAGCACAUCUCGCUCAGGGCGUGCGGCGGGCUCCAGCCGUUAAAGCACCCACCUUUCGCAAGGUUGACCUCGGAUCAGGUAGGAAUACCCGCUGAACUUAAGCAUAUCAAUAAGCGGAGGA